rnacentral:rRNA from 1 species
AGCAGUCGCCGCGGUAAAACGUAGGUGGCAAGCGUUGUUCGGAAUUAUUGGGCGUAAAGGGUGCGUAGGCGGUUUGAUAAGUCUCGUGUGAAAUCUCUGGGCUCAACCCAGAGUCUGCACGGGAAACUGUCGGGCUUGAGUAUGGGAGAGGUGAGUGGAGCUUCCGGUGUAGCGGUGAAAUGCGUAGAUAUCAGGAGGAACACCUGUGGCGAAAGCGGCUCACUGGACCAUAACUGACGCUGAGGCGCGAAAGCUAGGGGAGCAAACAGGAUUAGAUACCCCGGUAGUCCCUGUCUCUUAUAC